rnacentral:rRNA from 1 species
CGUGAGGGAGGAGGCUCUUGGGUCGUAAACCUCUUUUCUCAGGGAAGAAAUAAUGACGGUACCUGAGGAAUAAGCAUCGGCUAACUCCGUGCCAGCAGCCGCGGUAAUACGGAGGAUGCAAGCGUUAUCCGGAAUGAUUGGGCGUAAAGCGUCCGCAGGUGGCUAUGUAAGUCUGCUGUUAAAGAGUCUAGCUCAACUAGAUAAAAGCAGUGGAAACUACUUUGCUAGAGUACGUUCGGGGCAGAGGGAAUUCCUGGUGUAGCGGUGAAAUGCGUAGAGAUCAGGAAGAACACCAGUGGCGAAGGCGCUCUGCUAGGCCGUAACUGACACUGAGGGACGAAAGCUAGGGGAGCGAAUGGGAUUAGAUACCCCCCGUAAACGAUGGGUACUAGGUGUG